GAUGAACGCUAGCUACAGGCUUAACACACGCAAGUCGAGGGGCAGCAUGAUUGAAGCUUGCUUCAAUUGAUGGCGACCGGCGCACGGGUGAGUAACACGUAUCCAACCUUCCGUACACUCAGGGAUAGCCUUUCGAAAGAAAGAUUAAUACCUGAUGGUAUCUUAAGCACACAUGUAAUUAAGAUUAAAGAUUUAUCGGUGUACGAUGGGGAUGCGUUCCAUUAGGUAGUAGGCGGGGUAACGGCCCACCUAGCCUACGAUGGAUAGGGGUUCUGAGAGGAAGGUCACCCACAUUGGAACUGAGACACGGUCCAAACUCCUACGGGAGGCAGCAGUGAGGAAUAUUGGUCAAUGGACGAGAGUCUGAACCAGCCAAGUAGCGUGAAGGAUGAAGGUCCUACGGAUUGUAAACUUCUUUUAUAAGGGAAUAAAACCUCCCACGUGUGGGAGCUUGUAUGUACCUUAUGAAUAAGCAUCGGCUAACUCCGUGCCAGCAGCCGCGGUAA
rnacentral:rRNA from 1 species